rnacentral:rRNA from 1 species
UACGAAGGGGGCUAGCGUUGCUCGGAAUUACUGGGCGUAAAGGGCUCGUAGGCGGCCAACUAAGUCAGACGUGAAAUCCCUCGGCUUAACCGGGGAACUGCGUCUGAUACUGGAUGGCUUGAGGUUGGGAGAGGGAUGCGGAAUUCCAGGUGUAGCGGUGAAAUGCGUAGAUAUUGGGAAGAACACCGGUGGCGAAGGCGGCGACCUGGUCCGAUACUGACGCUGAGGCGCGAAAG